rnacentral:rRNA from 1 species
UACGUAGGGUGCGAGCGUUAAUCGGAAUUACUGGGCGUAAAGUGUGCGCAGGCGGCCGCGCAAGUCGAGUGUGAAAGCCCCGGGCUUAACUUGGGAAUUGCGCUCGAAACUACUUUGCUGGAGUGUGGCAGAGGAAGGUGGAAUUCCACGUGUAGCGGUGAAAUGCGUAGAGAUGUGGAGGAACACCAAUGGCGAAGGCAGCCUUCUGGGCCAACACUGACGCUCAUGCACGAAAGCGUGGGGAGCAAACAGG